GGCUAUUCUUGACUUGAUCAUGGUAAUACUCUGUGUUUACAAAAGUGAUUUUAAAUCCAAGUUUGGCUAAGCACAGAGAUAGCUCCAUUAGAGGAAUUACAUGGCCUUGAGUUGGAUAAGGAACAACCAAAAUAUGUGGAUUUCCCAUUUUAUUUCUCCCUUUUGCUUUGCAGGUUCUACUUUAAAGAUUUGUAUCACUCUUACGCAGGCAGCCUAGGGGAGAAGGCGACGAGAAUUAGAACAUUAUUAUUCUUCCUACCUUUACUUCAAUGGAAUCUCAAACUAGCUAAGUUGGGCCUAAACUCGGGCCAAACAGGUUGCGUGCACAACCUGCCGGCAGAUAAGUUGGGUCGAUGGGUCGAGAUCCAGUGCGAUACUGAACGGGGAUAGACAUACCUCAAGUGCUGGCAGGACCACCAGACUCCCUUGCUGGGAACUUGAAAACCUGAACCUCGUAUGCAGUGCCGCGGCUGCUUGUGCCAGACAAAUUGAGCUGGAACUACCCGUUUGUUUUUCUUUUUGGUUGGUUUUUCAAUUGCAGAUCCAGCACCGGCUUAUAUGAAAUCUAAAAGCCCAGAAGCUUUUGCAUAUCUUUCUGCCAUCUCAACCCCAUUGUAAGCUAUACCAUUAUGUGAUAUUAGCAAGGGUAAGCAAAACAAAACCAUAUUCACCAUGUCAUAUAUGCAGUCUUUGAUCCUCACUCUCCAAUGACCCAGUCUUAUUUCUAUGUUAAGUAAAUCUUAAUCCUUGUCAAUACAAAACACUUGUGCUGAUUUCUCAAUAAA